rnacentral:misc_RNA from 1 species
CGAAGAGAUCCUGUCAAAAUCUGAGGACGCACGUAUCGUAGAACAUCGGAUGCAAAUUGAGAUACCUAGGACAUCACAUAGAAUUUCUGCAAAUAAAUCUGGUUCAACUGCAUCUGAAAGCCAGGAGGACAUUAUGAAGAAGUUCAAAUUUUCGUCGAAUCAGAUUGUUGCCCCAAAGAGCGAAAAAUCUGUACCUAGAGAGUUUGAGCACCUUCAUGAAACUUCUCAGAAUACUUUCGGCAAGAGUGGCGACAUAAAGGGCUUAAUAGAAUGUAUUAGGGUGCUCCCUCCUCAGAAUCAUUCUGUUGUUAGGCCUGAGGAAAUUGUUGUUGACAGAAGUGUUGACAGAUAUAGUGGAAGAAAGGCAAGUAACAGCACCCAAGCACAAACUAACGAGCAGUCAACUGACAGGAAAAAAAGAAAGACUUCAUCUCAGGGUGUGAUUGGAAAGAAGGGUGGGAUAUCUAGCGAAGUCCUUGAUGAUCUCAACCCUGGUGAUGAAAGAACAGAGAUCAGGAGUACUGCACCUCGUGAUUUCUUCAAGUCAAUAGAAACUGA